AGGUGCCGGAAGAGGAAACCUCUCGCUGGGGCUAGGAGUUCGGCGGGGCGCGCGCCGGCGGCUGCGGAGCUGGCAGGUGCGAAGCGUCUGCACCUGGCGGGCGAUGGCGCCCGAUGCGGGCGCCCCGGGAUAGCGUGGGCGAGGCUGCGGGGCCCCGGCGCGCACGCCCGCACCUCUCCCCAGCCCUGGCGUGGGCCCAGCCCGGCCCAGGCAGCAAUGGGGUUCCUGCAGCUGCUGGUCGUAGCGGUGCUGGCAUCCGAACACCGGGUGGCUGGUGCAGCCGAGGUCUUCGGGAAUUCCAGCGAGGGUCUUAUUGAAUUUUCUGUGGGGAAAUUUAGAUACUUCGAGCUCAAUAGGCCCUUUCCAGAGGAAGCUAUUUUGCAUGAUAUUUCAAGCAAUGUGACUUUUCUUAUUUUCCAAAUACACUCACAGUAUCAGAAUACAACUGUUUCCUUUUCUCCGGUUUUUUUUUUCUAUUUGUUUUGGGAAGAUUUGGAAUAGGACAUGCACACUGGAUCAGCUCAGUAAUUUAUGUUUUGGUCGACUUCCUAUU
rnacentral:lncRNA from 1 species